ACCUAUUCCCUUUAAUAAACUCAUAUUCUCUUCUUUGUUGCCUUCCUUUGUUUUCAUACGCAGGGCUUUGGCAAAUUAUGGACUAGGUGAUUUUUUUCUAUGGGUUGAUCUUGGUUUAAAGGUUCUAUGCGCUCCUCUAUGUUUGUAGGGAUAGCUUCCACCUCCUCAACCUAGUUUUUCUCAUGCUCUUCCUUGUUAAUAGGUCACUAUUCUCCCCCCGAGUCUGGUUUUAUUUGCAAUCUCAUUCCUUUCUUCCUUCCCGCUGGCUUCUUCCAUGCGCUCUUGAGCUUCUUCCUAUGUUGAUUCUUCUAUGACUAACACACUAAAUCUUGAUUUUCAUUCAGCUUUGUUGCUUCUUUCCUUGUCUUUGCUAGGUUCUAUAUCAUUACUUGAGUCAAUCUCUUUUUGGCCUCUCUUUACUCUUUUUGGCCUUUGUGCAACCAUUCAUUCUCCAUAAUCAUCUUGGCAUGUGUAGGCAAUUUACUUUCUAUUGUCUUGUCUUCUUGCUUUUCCUUGUGCUUGUUUAUUAGUCAUAGCUCUAUUGGUGUUUUCAUUCUGUUCCUGGUUUUGUGCCAUUGCCUCUUCUGUUAUGUUUUGCUCCUGUUUAUGCGAACAAAUUUUUUUAUCAUGAUCUAUUCUUUCACAAGAAAAAUAGAUUUGAUGAAUUUCCUCAUACUCCACAUGAUAUUCCCUCCUGUUAAUAAAGUAUCUCCCUAUUAAAGGUUUUGUGAGGUCCACUUCAAUGCACAAUCUAGCGAAUUCGCCUCUGCACAAAUUAACUAUGUUGUUGUCUACUUUCGCUGUUCUUCCAAUGACAUUUUCUAUCUUCCUUAUGAUCCAUGUUGUGAUUUUAUCAAUACUAACUAUUGGGGGGUUGAAGUUUGGUUCCCAUAACCUGAUUGUUAAAUAAUGAUCAUAUAGUUUCCAUGGUCCUUUCAACAAAGCAAAAUCAAAAUCUUCACUGGAGAAAAAUUUAACAAGAUAAAAAUCUUGCCCUAUGUCAAUGACAUCUAUGCAUCCUCUUUAUUCCCACAUUGCUUCUAACCUCUUUUUCAUGGCUGCAUACCCCACUCUUCGACCAAGGAGUUUGACGAUUAGGGUAUUCUACCAUGACCUCCACAAUUUUCUCUCAGCAGAUUCACUUAUGAUAAUAUUGAAGAGACUAUUUCUAACUUCUUCCACUUUGAUUUUAGCUCCUGUCUCCUCCAUCAUUUCCUGGUCAUGUUUCUCUUGCACUGAUGGUUGCCGAGGGUGAGUCCCACCAGGUCAUCAACACCGGACAUGUGGAUGACACGCACAAAUCGAGAAAUUAUUAAAUAAUUUUGUAUAAUUUUGCCUUCGAUGUGGGUGAUAAUUGACAUUUUAUUCAAAUCGAUGCCAUUUAUUGUGCCUUUUUUUGGAUAAGUUCAGACUCCAAAACCAGGCUCGAACUGACAAAACUGCAAUCCAACCGGCUGAAUUUGAAAAAAAAAAUCACGGCUCUCCUUCAUUCUCCAUGGCUGCCGCUGCUGUUCUUCAAAGGAGGAGUCCAAUACUCGUGACACUCAUUGCCUCCUCGUCUCCUCCUUGUGUAGCCUGCUUUCUAUCGCCAUCAGUUGUUGUCUUCACAGUUGGUCUUCAUCUUCGCCAAUCAGCGGUAGGAUGCAGUUUCCCGGAGAUGUCACGAUGCCGCUGCUGAAUUCGUCUCCGAUGCUACCUCUAAUACAUCUGCCGUCCCUGGACUUAAUACUCCGACCAUCGUUGCUUGGUAACCAUCAUCGUUGUUGCUCGAAGUUAAUAAUUGGAACAGCUUUUUGCUGGAGUUUGUUGAAGAUGAUUCUGCCUUUUGUUGCAGCAACGUUUUCUUUCUUUGCCUCUCUGCACCUCCUUUUCUGCUCAAUUCAGCUUCUAUCGUCAACUCUCUGAUGAUUUCCGUCAGGAGACUCCAGCUCCAUAAACGAUUUAGCCUAUCCUCUAGCUCCAUCCCAGCAAUUUUAUGUGCCAGUUAAUUACUCUCUCUCGGUAUUCAAGUGAACCUGAUGUCACCAUCUUCUCCCUUCAUUUGGAGAUAUCCAUGAGGAUGGGAUCAAUGUCUACCACUCUGCUUCCGGCCUUUAGCGCCUGUACUACUUGUGAGUUAACAGACUCGAUUAAUAUUUUAUUCAUUCCUAGAUUUUUAAUUAGAAUAAUUGCUUCCCUAAUCGCUAUGGCUUCAGCUACCAAACUUGAAGCGGCUAUAAUUCUUAAUGUUGAACCUGCCAUCAGCUUUCCCUCUCCAUCCCUUACAACAACUGCAACAGCUCCCUCUCUAGUGGUUGUUUUAUAGGACGCGUCAAUAUUGGCUUUCAUCCAUGGUUGAGGAGGAGGAUUCCGGGUAUUUUCUGACUGAAAUUGAGGGUCCUGAGCAAAAAUCUGAUCAAGAGACUGAAAAGGACUGUAGAUGCUGUUGGAUUCUGACCUCCCUGCACUCGAAGCGGAUUUUCUGGAGCUACAGAAGCCCAAUUGGCGCGCUCUCAACGGCAUUGGAAAGUAGACAUCCAGGGCUUUCCAGCAAUAUAUAAUAGUCCAUACUUUGUCCAAGAUUUGAUGGCCCAAACCCGCGUAGCAAUCCGGCCUCGGAAAUUCCAGCGUUAAACGCCGGAACUGGAAUAAAAGUUGGAGUUAAACGCCCAAACUGGCAUGAGAACUGGCGUUUAACUCCAGAAAAGGUCUCUACACGAAUUUCCUUGAUUGCUCAGCCCAAGCACACACCAAGUGGGCCCAAGAAGUGGAUUUUUCUGUCAUUUACUCAUUUCUGUAAAACUGAGGAUACUAGUUUACUACUUAAAGGACCUUUUGACAUUGUAAUCAGAACCUUAUGACCUCAUAACAUUUUUGUACACGUUCUUUCCACAGUAUGAGCCUCUAAACCCCAUGGUUGGGGGUGAGGAGCUCUGCUGUGUCUUGAUGGAUUAAUGCAAUUACUACUGUUUCUUAUUCAA